rnacentral:misc_RNA from 2 species
AACGCACAUUGCGCCCGCUAGUAUUCUGGCGGGCAUGCCUGUUCGAGCGUCAUUUCAACCAUCAAGCGCCUGCGCUUGUGUUGGAGCCCUGCGGCUGCCGCAGGCUCCCAAACCCAGUGGCGGGCUCGUCGUCGUACCGAGUGCAGUAAACUUACCACGCUCAGGGCACGCGACGGGUAACCGGCCGUAAAACCCCCCCCUUCUCAAGGUUGACCUCGGAUCAGGUAGGAAUACCCGCUGAACUUAA